ensembl:lncRNA
GUUUUGAUGACGACGCGAGAAACGAGGACCCCUGCCCUUGUUCGAAAGACGCGCUGUGGCGUAGCGACCAGCCGCGCGUCCUUAACAACUUGGAUCGCUACGAGAUUACUUAUCCUCAGUGGUUGAAUCCGGCGCGACACAAGAUAUCCCACUGGAACAUAAAGUAUCCUUCGGAGGCAGAAGUCAAGAUUGCUGUGGGAGGAGUGGAGUUGGUUCUCCAGCUACAGAGAAAUGAGUGAGUGUCUGCUGGGUGUGCACUUACAUUCACAGCUAUUGCAGUUCAGUCUCACUAU